CUCUCUGCAACUUGGACAUCCCCGUCAUUAACAUGGAGCUGGACGGUAUUUUUGACUUGCCCCACAUCUCCCCCUUCAGGAACUCGGUGGCGCUGCUCGGGUUGACCAAAACCAGGGCAGAGCCGGAGGAAGAGUCCGAGAGCACAGUGCUAUGAUGAGUCCUCCCACCUCCACUGUUCCCUCCGACACGCUCCUCCACCGUGUCGCUCAACUCACUGACCUUUCACCUCUGCAGCUGGAACUCGUUGUCGCUCCUCAUCAGAACUCGAUCCGGCAGAAUAAAAAUACAAUAAGGUGAACACACGGCUAAAAGUAAUCUUCAUUCCCACAAUCGCACGAGGUGUAAGACAUGAAGCGGUGCGUUUGAGUUUUUGUGUUUUUUUAUUUUUUAUUUAAAAGCGUUUCAUGUUUGUUUUUGCCUUAUUUGAUCGACUUGCAAUAUUGCCUUUAACUUCACACACGAGACAGGAAGCAGCUGCCAGGAGGAACUAGUUUCUCUCUGCUGCUGCGACUGUUCCUCGUGAGGAAGAAUAACACGGAAAACUGGAGGAAACAGUGACGAGCUGAUGCUGAGGAUGAAACGACUCUGGGAUUAUUCUGCACUCAGUUCACAGUUUGUGGAUCAACCGGACGAACCUGUCUCACUGUCCCCGGAAACACGUCGAGCGUCGCGGUUCCGUUUCUUCCUUCAUCCUCCGACAUGUUUUCCCUCAGCACCGAGGA